GACGUAGGGCGCGAGCGUUGUCCGGAUUUAUUGGGCGUAAAGAGCUCGUAGGCGGCUUGUCGCGUCGAAUGUGAAAUCUCAGGGCUCAACUCUGACAUUGCAUUCGAUACGGUCAGGCUAGAGUGCGGUAGGGGAGACUGGAAUUCCUGGUGUAGCGGUGAAAUGCGCAGAUAUCAGGAGGAACACCGGUGGCGAAGGCGGGUCGCUGGGCCGUAACUGAUGCUGAGGAGCGAAAGCGUGGGGAGCGAACAGG
rnacentral:rRNA from 1 species